rnacentral:antisense_RNA from 1 species
GAAAUCAAUUCAACAACAACUGCCCCGGUGCUUCCCCGUAGAUGGCACUGCUGGUCAGUUCGGGAGGGGAUGGGACAUUGAGGAGCGGGACAGUCUUCAGGAAGCUUACAGUCUGCUUUGGGUUGUUUCAGGAACACAGUCAUCCCUAAGAAAUGGAUUGGGUGACAAGUGGUCUGCAUGCUGCACAUGGGCACUGGGUCUCUGAAUGUAACCAAAUUGUUCUCCUCUUAUCAUUCCCAUUCACUGGUGUACUUGUUUGUGGAGCCUGCAGAACUGCCUUUUCCAAGAAUGGCAGCUUGGCCUCUAAAUCUGCUUCCCACUGAUGGGAAGAGCUGACAGAAGCUUUAGAGAGGCACAGGGUGAGUUCCUAAAACCAGAGUCAACACACACUCUUCAUCUGUUUUGUGCUUCACUCCCUGCUCAUCUUUCUAAAACACUGAGUUUGGUCAUAUCAUGUCCUACAAGUUGUCAAUGAUUUCCCAUGAUCUUGUCUUCAGGAUAAAGUUCCUUAGUCAAAAGCAAUGAAGACCUGACCUAAUCUGUAAGGCAAAAUCAACACUUUUUAGCCUGGCCUUCCAUGCCCUUCCAUGCCCUUCGAGCCCCCAGAGCACCCAUGGCAGUCCAUCUCUCUCUACUUGUCCAGAUGGACACUCUCUUAGAGCCAGUGGCUCCUAGUCAUUGUUCCCUGAACACGUCGUGGGAAUGUUUGCCUUCAUACCUUCCCAGAUCAUUUUCCUGAUCUCAGACACCCUCCGUCCUCAUUCAUUCACUCUUCAAUUGUCCAACAAAUAUUUGUUGCUCAUGCAACCUGGAUCACCCACAUAGUUUCAAGACGGCAUCUUCUAAACUAUUUAAAUCCUAUCCAUUCUUCAAGAAAUGUUUCAUGACGCUUCCUUAACUGCUAAGGACCCGCAGAUUCUCUUCCUCUUGGGACUCACACACUGACUCAUCUCCCGCUCUUUUGGUGCUCAGCAAAGUGGAGGCCUCUAUUUUGGACUUAGAGUCAAGACCAUUAAAUAAGACUAUGCUCUAAAAAGUACACCUCCGUGGCCCGGAACGAGUGAAUUAACAUCUAUGAGUUUCCAUUUCCUUGUCUAUAAAAUUGUGAAAUUGCAACUUAAGAUUAGUUCUGAAGAUUGAAUGAGGUAACAUAGGUGAAAAUGCCACAUUUAUGUAACAAAUUACUCUUUCAUAAGGAUGUCAAUGUUUAAAUACGCAUUUUCUCAAUUUUGUUAAUGAAAUACUU